AUUUUUCAUUCCAACAGAACUUUGCUGCUCAGUAUGAUCACAACAAAGGCGCUGAUAUUGGUCCCGGCCCCAUGGGAAUGAUGGGAAUGAAAGGCCAACCUGGACUUCCCGGCCCCCCUGGAGAAAGAGUGAUAAUCCCUUGAGUCCGGACUUUGUUCCAUCUCUUUUCAACUACGUUCCAUCUCCAGAGAAGAGGAAAAGAAAAAUGAGACUGGAGGUUUUCAACAGACGACAGAGAGCAAAGCUACAGAAGAUGGAGCAGACAAAGCUAUCUGCGAAAGCCAUCCCUCCCAGAGCAUCAACAGAUUGUCCCCAAGACUGCAACAAGGAUCCUACUGCAGAGCAAAGUCCCACCACAGAGCCUUUGAAGGAAUCUACCCAUGAAGAACCUGGAAACGAUGUCCAGCCUGUUCUCCAUGAGGAGGAUCCAGCAACCCCACCAUGCACCACUGAAACCUGUGGUAAACGCGUCCAAUCUCUUGAGCAAGAAUGCCAAGCUCUGAGGACUGAAAAUAUGUUGUUGAAGGAAAAAAAUGAAUAGGACUACACUGAAUGAGAUGAGCUUGCAUAACGAUGAUAAAAGGGUUCAUACUCUCACUGGUUUAUCAGCAUUCUCCAUUCUCAUGACAAUUUUUCAUAUUGUGGCUCCUUUUCUCCAACUUAAAUCUAGUUUAACAUGUUUUCAGCAGUACAUGUUAACUUUAAUUAAGCUUAGAAUGAACUUGUCCUUUGAGUUUUUGGCUUUUUAUUUUGACAUUGACUCAACCACUGUUUCAAAGCUCUUCAAACACUGCAUUAGUGUGAUGCAUUGUAGACUGGUGCCAAGUCUGGUGUUGUGGCCUGACAGAGAAUACUUAAGAAAAUCUCUUCCAUACGCAUUUCGAAACCGUAGCUUUGAAAAGACAGUUUGCAUUAUAGAUUGUUUUGAAAUAUUUCUAGAGAAACCCAGUAGAUUGCUAGCCAGUGCUCAGUGUUACUCAUCAUACAAAUCACACCACACAAUGAAAUAUUUAAUUGCAAUUUGCCCUCGAGGUUCCAUUUGUUUCAUUUCCGCUGGAUGGGGAGGUCGCACAAGUGAUAAGUUUAUCACAGAACAAAGUGACUUUUUAUCUCAUUUGCUCCCAGGGGACGUAGUUUUAGCGGACAGAGGUUGUCUGGUUAAAGAGUCCAUUGAGAGAUGCCAAGCUGAAUUAAAAAUUCCAGCAUUUACUCGUGGAUAGAAGCAGUUAGAUCCUGCUGACUUGGAGAACACCAGACGUCUAGCCUCUCUUAGGAUACAUAUUGAAAGAGUGAUAGGAGUUCUCCGUCAAAAGUACACAGUCUUGCAAAGCACUGUCCCCAUAUGUUUCACGGACAUAGACAGGGAAAAUGAUGUGGCCUACCUUGACAAGAUGGUGAGCGUGUGUUGUGCACUUACAAAUGUGUCUGAAUCUGUGGUGUCCUUCCAGUGAUGGGGAUGUACAGUACAUUGAACUGAUGUGACUGGCUACAGAUGUGCUCAACCAGCAAAUAAACCUUUGUGACUCACACUUCUUGCUUGCUUGUCGUGACAUUAUUUUUAAUCACUCGCUAUUCUGAUGCGAUCACAUCGUUUCUCUUUGCAGAUCAAGCUGCACAUCCACCCAUUCUAACUUGAGUUCCACCCAAACAGAUAUUUG